rnacentral:rRNA from 1 species
GACGAACGCUGGCGGCGUGCCUAAUACAUGCAAGUAGGACGCAGUUGCGAACGGGUGAGUAACGCGUAGGUUACUGCCUAUUAGAGGGGGAUAACUAUUGGAAACGAUAGCUAAUACCGCAUACUAGUAGAUGGACCUGCGUUGUAUUAGCUAGUAGGUAGGGUAAUGGCCUACCUAGGCGACGAUACAUAGCCGACCUGGUAGGGGGAUACGCCACACCGGGAAUGAGACAAGGCCCAGACUCCGACGGGAGGCAGCCGUAGGGAAGCUUCGGCAAUGGGGGGAAACCUGACCGGGCAACGACGCGUGAGUGAAGAAGGUUUUCGGAUCGUAAAGCUCUGUUGUUAAGGAAGCGGUACUUAACCAGAAAGGGACGGCUAACUACGUGCCAGCAGCCGCGGUAAUAC